rnacentral:rRNA from 1 species
CGAGGGGCAGCGGGGUUGUAGCAAUACAACUGCCGGCGACCGGCGCACGGGUGAGUAACACGUAUGUAACCUGCCCUCUGCAGGGGGAUAAGCGGAAGAAAUUCCGUCUAAUACCGCAUAAUACAAUUUGGAGACAUCUCCGGGUUGUCAAAGGAGUGAUCCGGCAGAGGAUGGACAUGCGGCGCAUUAGCUAGUCGGCGGGGUAACGGCCCACCGAGGCUACGAUGCGUAGGGGUUCUGAGAGGAAGGUCCCCCACACUGGUACUGAGACACGGACCAGACUCCUACGGGAGGCAGCAGUGAGGAAUAUUGGUCAAUGGGCGGAAGCCUGAACCAGCCAAGUCGCGUGAGGGAAGACGGUCCUAUGGAUUGUAAACCUCUUUUGCAGGGGAGCAAGGCGCGGUACGUGUACCGCGAAGGAGAGUACCCUGAGAAAAAGCAUCGGCUAACUCCGUGCCAGCAGCCGCGGUAAUACGGAGGAUGCGAGCGUUAUCCGGAUUUAUUGGGUUUAAAGGGUGCGCAGGCGGACUGUUAAGUCAGCGGUAAAAUGUCGGUGCUCAACACCGGCCGGCCGUUGAAACUGGCAGCCUUGAGUGAGCGAGAAGUAUGCCGAACGCGUGGUGUAGCGGUGAAAUGCAU